rnacentral:rRNA from 1 species
UACGUAGGGGGCAAGCGUUGUCCGGAUUUAUUGGGCGUAAAGAGCGUGUAGGCGGCCAUGCAGGUCCGUUGUGAAAACUGGAGGCUUAACCUCCAGACGCCGGUGGAAACCGUGGGGCUAGAGUCCGGAAGAGGAGAGUGGAAUUCCUGGUGUAGCGGUGAAAUGCGCAGAUAUCAGGAAGAACACCCGUGGCGAAGGCGGCUCUCUGGGACGUGACUGACGCUGAGACGCGAAAGCGUGGGGAGCAAACAGG